rnacentral:rRNA from 1 species
GACGAAGGAUGCAAGCGUUAUCCGGAUUCAUUGGGUUUAAAGGGAGCGUAGGUGGCCUGCUAAGUCAGUGGUGAAAUCUCUGGGCUUAACCCAGAAGUUGCCAUUGAUACUGGUGGGCUUGAGUGCAGUUGCUGUUGGCGGAAUAUGACAUGUAGUGGUGAAAUACAUAGAGAUGUCAUAGAACACCGAUUGCGAAGGCAGCUAACAAAACUGUAACUGACACUGAGGCUCGAAAGUGUGGGGAUCAAACAGG